ensembl:lncRNA
GCACAUGGCAGGGGGUUGGAACUGGAUGAGCAUUGUGGUCCUUUUCAACCCAGGCCAUUCUGUGAUUCUAUGAUUCUAUGACCACUUCAGGGUUUCUACAUGUUCAGCUCUGGGAGUUCUGUGAGCACCAAGUGGGAGCAUGUAGGGAGUAUGUGGGAGUACUGAAGUGAGAUUACUGUGUGUACAGUGAUUUUAUAAUGGGUAACAGCAGAGCCUUCAGUCUCAGUGUGAUUUAUGAGAGAGAAAAGUAUUGCUUUUGUAUUUUUUUUUUUCCUGUGAUGAGCAGUAUAAUGGUCACAAUAUAUCUAUACAGGCAUAUACACCAAAUACGUCUGUGCGGAUGAUAUCAUUGUAUAAUCAAUAUCUGGAAACUAUUUAGCAGGAUCUGAUAGAUUUCAGUUUGGAAGCCAGUUUUAUAAUGAGAAUAAUGAUGAAGUCAAUUUUAUAAGACUGAAUGGAGACCAAGACAAACAUGCUAAAUCUAUCUUAUAAAGACUUCCAGAUAAUAAAUCCAGAACAGCCACAAUUAUAAGCUAAUCCAACCUUCUGGACAGGAUAACCAGAGACAUUCCCUGAACCAAGUCCUUUUUUAAACACUGUUCAUCUGAAGUUUUUUUUCAGUGAUGAAGAAUCUCCCAUCAGCCUGUGUGUGUUGGUCCAGUGGUUAACAGGGAUCGCUGCUGACUGCUGUGGUUUAAGUGAGGGCUUUUGUUACUGAGCAUGAUGCCAUAUGGAAAUGAUGUCCUUUGGGCAGCCUGGGUCAGUUGUGCUGUGUCCCCCCAGUUCCUGGUGCACCCCCAGCUCCUCAUUUCAAGGACUGAGAUGCCCUUGGCUCCAUGCAAGCACUGCUCAGCAACACCUAAAAAUAUAUAACAGUGGUGCAUUGCCACCACUAUUUUCAACAACAAUCCAAAACGUGGCAUCACAAGUCUCUACUAUGAAAAUUUACCUUGUCCCAACCAAAACCAUGACAGUGCAUUCCCCCUUAUCACAGGCACCACAUGGCAGCGUCAGCCUUUCCAUCUGAUGGAACGGAGGGGCAGUACUAUGGCAGGGCUUGCUCUCGGGAGCACUGUUAGAGCACGGUCAUCAGUGCCUGCACAUCACUCCGAGAGGAGCCAUUAGAAAACUGUAACAUGCUGUUACUGAAUCACCACUUCCAGUUGAAAAGAGGGAAAGCAGACGUACGCGCUUGCAAUCUAAACGUGUGUAAAUUUCAAGCAAUAAAUAAGUAACUAAUGAAAGGAAAGCAUCCAAGAGAGAUCACCGCACUGUCCAGUCCUUUGUAAAGAAGUUGCAGAACAGUGGUGAUAAGCUGGCUGCUAAGAGCACACAAAUGCUAAAAAGCAUCACAGUUUCACGAGCUGCAUGCCAAAUUAUGUGGCGUUUCAAGGCUAGUGAGCACCUUCUCAUAAAGAAAGAAGCUAUCUUGACAAUAAUUUGCUUUAGCAGCUUUCCUAGAAUGUCAUGAAUUAGUAGAGCAGAAAACAAAACAAAAGCUCUAAAAUAGGGUCGGGUUUUUUUCAUUGCAGACAGAGAAGAAAUGAGGCUACAAAAGUGUCUCUCUCCGGUCUUUUUUCCACAUGAGGCCCCUGAUUUAAUUAGCAGAGUCACCAGAGGCUUUGAAAGGAGCUUUCUUCAAAACGCUCUUCCAGACUCUCAGGGAUGGAAGUAAAAAAAAAAAAAAAUAGAUUUUAAAUUGGUCUUGGGGAGCUACUGUUUACUUUAGAGGCAGUGAAAUAAAUAAAUAAACAAACAAAACUCC